GAUAGAGGCCUACCAUGGUGGUAACGGGUAACGGGGUGUUAGGGCACGACACCGGAGAGGGAGCCUGAGAAACGGCUACCACAUCCAAGGAUGGCAGCAGGCGCGCAAAUUAUCCAAUCCCGACACGGGGAGGUAGUGACAAUAAAUAACAAUACGGGGUUCUUUCGGAUCUCGUAAUUGGAAUGAGUACAAUUUAAAUCUCUUAACGAGGAACAAUUGGAGGGCAAGUCUGGUGCCAGCAGCCGCGGUAAUUCCAGCUCCAAUAGCGUAUAUUAAAGUUGUUGCAGUUAAAAAGCUCGUAGUUGAAUUUCGGGGUUAGUAGGUUGGUCAUGCCUCUGGUAUGUACUGGUCUCACUGAUUCCUCCUUCCUUAUGAACCGUAAUGCCAUUAAUUUGGUGUUGCGGGGAAUUCGGACUGUUACUUUGAAAAAAUUAGAGUGUUUAAAGCAAGCUAACGCUUGAAUACAUUAGCAUGGAAUAAUGAAAUAGGACGUUCGAUCUUAUUUUGUUGGUUUCUAGGAUUGACGUAAUGAUUAAUAGGGAUAGUUGGGGGCAUUAGUAUUCAAUUGUCAGAGGUGAAAUUCUUGGAUUUAUUGAAGACUAACUACUGCGAAAGCAUUUGCCAAGGAUGUUUUCAUUAAUCAAGAACGAAAGUUAGGGGAUCGAAGACGAUCAGAUACCGUCGUAGCCUUAACCAUAAACUAUGCCGACUAGGGGUCGGAUGA
rnacentral:rRNA from 1 species